AUAAUAAAGAAUGAAUUAUAAUAAUAAUAAUAAUAGUCUUUAUUUUUAUAUAGCGCCUUUCAUAGUGGUCCACCUUCACAAAGCACCUUACAAAAUACGAGACUAGGAUGUGUGAACUGUGCAUCAGCUGCAGAGUCACUUACAACAAUUAUGAUAUGCAUCAACAUGGAACACCAAAGGAUCCUAUUUAUUGUAUCAAUCUAAUAAAUGCUAUAUAUUUUACUGCAAAAGAGAAAAAAAAGUGGACAAAGGGCACCAAUGCAUAUCACUGCACAGGUCAUUAACUGUGAAUCUGAGCAUUGUAUUGAAUUUAUGGCCCUUGCUAUCAGGAGGAAAUAUGGAAAUGGAAUGACUUCAUCUGCAGAGAACAGGUACCUCACUGCCAAUCACACCUCAAUCUCCAUUACAAGAGCAGAAUCUCCAAAAUAUGUUGGAUAAUGGUUUGAUUUCCAAUUUCAGGAAAGAUGACUAUCUUACUGGUGGUGUCAAGCAUUAAUUGAAGGGGAAAUGGAACAUGACAUAAUCGGUAGGAACUAAAAUCAAACAGGACGUUUCUGUUCUUGAAUCCUGGCUAUAUGCCCAAACUGAAGCAGGCACUGAAAGUGAGGAUGCCAGUUUCUGAUUAAAAAGAGGCAAGUACAUUUUAUUAAUGUUCUUGAUGAUGAUGGUAGAUAAUGUUGGAGGUGCUAACACUGAAUUUUUUUUUUUGCUACAGACAAUUGCUCUUUAUGAUAAUAUCAAGAGUGCCUGAAGAUGGAAACAAAUCCUCAGAAUACUUUGUUAGAUCUGUUGACUCCUGAGCGUCACUUGGAAACGUUUCUAAAUAUGCGGAGCUGCUUGCAGCUUGCAACACUGUAUACCCUCUAUACUGGCCAGAUGACCUUGACGUUCUGUAUGGUGAAAGUGAGGUGACCUCACUAUACAGGAUAUUUCAUCUGCCAGAAAAAGAGAUUGUUGGAGGAUUCAGAGUACAAGGACAGUGGAAGAAAGAAGGUCCCAGCAGACAUGAUAGGGCUCAUCAAAAAACUAGAGACUGUAGCAGUUUCCACAGCUGAGUGUGAGAGAGGCUUCAGCUCAAUGAAUAAAAUUCUCACACCAAUUAGGAACUCAGUAUCCCAAGAGUGAGUCGUCUCUUCCUGAAUCGUAAUGGUCCAGCAUUAACUCAGUUUCAGCCACUGAGUUAUGUCAGCGCUUGGUUGUUACAAGGAAAAAGGAGUGCAGAAAACAAGCUUGCAAG